GGGCCCGCACAAGCGGUGGAGUAUGUGGUUUAAUUCGAUGCAACGCGAAGAACCUUACCAGGGCUUAAAUGUAGGUUGCAUGAUCUAGAGAUAGAUCUUUCUUCGGACUACCUACAAGGUGCUGCAUGGUUGUCGUCAGCUCGUGCCGUGAGGUGUCAGGUUAAGUCCUAUAACGAGCGCAACCCCUGUCGUUAGUUACCAGCAAUUAAAGUUGGGUACUCUAGCGAGACUGCCGGUGCAAACCGUGAGGAAGGUGGGGAUGACGUCAAAUCAUCACGGCCCUUACGUCCUGGGCUACACACGUGCUACAAUGGCCGGUACAGAGAGCAGCCACUACGCGAGUAGGAGCGAAUCUUCAAAGCCGGUCUCAGUUCGGAUCGCAGUCUGCAACUCGACUGCGUGAAGCUGGAAUCGCUAG
rnacentral:rRNA from 1 species